AGCUCUUUGCACGGCCUUGCUUUGGAAAUUAGGCGGGAUAAUGACGUCUCAUCGCUCUCGUUUUUGUAUUUUUAUUUUGUUUCUUCUUCACAAAAAACAAACUCGACCCAACGAACCGGGGUCUGCCCCGCCAGGAGCAGCGUGGCAGGAGGGCCCAGCGGAGCAGCUGGCUCCAGAGACCCCGGCGAGGAGACGGCAGCGGAGACCCCCCGGCACUCGACGCCGUCGGUGCGGAGCAACCGUCAGGAGGGGGGGAAAAAAAACCAAAAAAACCCCAUUUUUGCUCAUUAACUUCAUGCCCUGACUCCCAAGUUCACACUUCUGCCUGGAAGCUGAGAGGCUGGAAACCACAAAACGCAAGAGACAAACGAGACAAACGCUGGGUUAGGCAGAUGCAGGUUCAGAUCUGCCUGGCGGGGAAGGCGCCGGAGCGGAGCUGCAGCCGCGGCACUCGACGAUCCCUGGGCUGGUGCCAGGGGCAGGUACAGCCCUGGACUGGUGCCAGGGGCAGGUACAGCUCUGAGCUGGUGCCAGGGGCAGGUACAGCCCUAGGCUGGUGGCACAGGCAGGUACAGCUCUGAGCUGGUGGCAUGGCCAGGUACAGCUCUGAGCUGGUGCCAGGGGCAGGCACAGCUCUGGGCUGAUGGCACGGGCAGGUACAGCCCUGGGCUGGUGCCAGGGGCAAGUACAGCCCUGGGCUGGUGGCAUGGCCAGGUACAGCCCUGGGCUGGUGCCAUAGCCAGGUACAGCCCUGGGCUGGUGCCACAGGCAGGUACAGCCCUGGGCUGGUGGCAUGGGCAGGUACAGCUCUGGGCUGGUGCCACGGGCUCGUGGGGAGGCAGGGGUGCCCGGGCCAGACAUGGCGUUGGCUUCACGUCGCAGUGAAAAGGGUUUGGGGGCUGUUUGUCGGGGUCUUUACUUUGUUGGGGGCUUGGGGUUAUUUUAUUAUUAUAUUCUUUUUUUUUUUUGUCCGGGUCAUUAUCCUUUAUUUCCCCCUCCAGACUGUAGUAUCUGGUAAACUCCUCCUAAUUUUCAAAAGACAACGAGAAGAAUGACAAUCUAAGAAACCAACACCCUCCUUUGUGCUUCUAUAAAUAUGUUUCUGAUCUAAUUUUAUUUCUCGUGCUCAUCUGUACUGUUGACAGUUACAAUUGUGUAUAAUUUUUUUUUUAAUUUGGAAUUUUUGCGUUGUAUAGGGUUUAGUUUUAAAAUAUAUAUAUAUUUUCCAUUUUUUAAAAAGGGGUGUUGCAAAAAAAAAAUUGCACGAUUUAAAUGACAAUAGUUAAAAUGCUGCAGUUUUUAGAGAUGUGGAAGCAAAAUGGAGCUUAUUUAUUCUCAAAGGCUAUAAAGGUGUAAAAUGCAUGAAGAAAAAAAAAACAUUUACAAAAAAAAAAAAAAAGACAAAAAAAGUGUAACCUGAACAAAGUGUAGCGUUAAAGAUUUUAAAGGAUGACAACAACAAGAAAAAAAGAAAAAAACCAACAAAAAAACAGCUAAUAUAUUGUGUUUGGGCUAGUUUGCUUUUGUUUUUAAUUGUUCCUUUUUUGGAGAAUGAAAUACAUUUGUGUAUAUUUUCAUAUAAGAAGUAUGCACUGAGAUGUUUCCAAACUGAUAUAUUCCUUUCUAAACGUGUGGUUACUUACCAAAGUCUGUUUCUGAUCUUUACCUUCUAAACUCUCUGUGGAUCCUCCAGCCCGCACCUGAGCGCAGGUAAGGCGGGGUGGGGGCAGCGGCACGGCCCCCUCCCCGCGGGGUGCCAGGGGUGCCAGGGGGCUGAGCCGGGGGGCUGGCACAUGUGGGGGCUGUGACCCUCGGCCUGGGAAGGCUGGUCUUUCCCAGGGCCUGGCAAAGCUGUUUUUUGGGGUGUCCGUGCUGGUUUUUGGGGUGUCUGUGCCGCUGCGGGGCUGGCUGGGGUGGGCUGGUGCCAGGAGCAGCCUGGUGAGGGCAGGGGCAGAGCGGGGGGUUCCUCCCCUGGAGCUGUGCCCAGUGUGUGCUGGCAUGGCCAGGUUUGGUGCAGAGAGGAGGAGGAUGGAAGGAAGGAAGGAAGGAUGGAGGAAGGUCACAGGGUGUGGCUCAGGUGACGCUGCUGCCGGCAGCUGUAGGAGCAGGAUGGGGUGGGAAGUCACCUGCCCAGCCCUGGAGGAGAUUUGGGGAUGGAGCAGGACCCUAAAUGAUGGAUAGAACCCAAAAUAGUGGGAAGGGCACUAAAAGGGGCCUAAAAUACUGCCUGGGAGCAGUGAGGAUGGUGAUGGAUCAGUGGAGAUGGUCCUGCCCGCUCUGGGGGCUGUGGACGUGGUCAGCUGGGGUUGGGUGGUCAGCUGAGGUUAGAUGGUCAGCUGGGCUGGAUGGUCAGCUGGGUUCAGGUGGUCAGCUGGAGUUACAUGGUCUGCUGAGUUCAGGUGGUCAGCUGGGGUUGGGUGGUCAGCUGAGGUUAGAUGGUCAGCUGGGUUCAGAUGGUCAGCUGGGUUCAGGUGGUCAGCUGGGCUUGGAUGGUCAGCUGAGGUUGGAUGGUCAGCUGGGCUUGGAUGGUCUGCUGAGUUCAGGUGGUCAGCUGAGGUUGGAUGAUCAGCUGGAGUUACGUGGUCAGCUGGAAUUGCAUGGUCAGCUGGGCUUGGAUGGUCAGCUGGAGUUACAUGGUCAGCUGGAAUUACAUGGUCAGCUGGGCUUGGAUGGUCAGCUGGGCUUGGAUGGUCAGCUGGAAUCAGGCAGUCAGCUGGGUUCGGGCGGUCAGCACGAGGACAGGGUGACCCCUGCUCUAGGGGUGUUUUGGGGGUGGCAGGGAGCCUGCCUGUGCAGGAGGUUUGGGUGAAGGGCUUGGUGCUGGGGGCACGCUGGCAGUGGUUGUGGUGCUGGCAGGAGCACCCGAGCCCCCACGGGGGUUGUGGUUGUGGCAGGGAGACUCCGGGGGUCCCUUGGGGAGGGGGUUGUUGCUCUGCGGUGUUUGAGGCCCCUGCCAGGGUUGGGGUCUGGGGGCAGUGGAAGUGUUAAAUCCAGAGCUGGUGGUGAUGGGCCACGUGUGGGCCUGGGCUAAACUGGGGCAAAGAGAAAGAACACGUUUCCUUUUCCAUCUCCCUUUUUCACUUCCCUCUUCCUCUCCAGAAUAAUUUCAGCAAACCAAGGAAAAAGCAAAUUUACAAAAACCCCCACAUUUUCCUUGAAAAUUUCACUUCUUACACUUUUUUCUCCCCUUGUGUUGCUUGGCUGGAGGAUUUCCCCCAUCACUUUGGGCCUGAAUUGGGAUGUUUGUCACCAGUUCUGGGGACAAGGCUGUGAGCUGCUGCUGCCAGCCCAGAGCUUGGCUGGGGCUGAGGGGCACUUGGUGCUCUGGGGGUCCCCUCUGCCCUCCUAGGGAGAGCAUCCCUCCGGUGGGGAUGGAGCAUCUUCCCAGCCACUCCUUAGCUCUGCCGUCCUGCCUCCCUUCUCUCCAGCUGGGGGCACAAUUUGGGGAAGUUUGGGGGAUUUUCACCACCCAAAGUGGUGAAAAUUCAUCCCCAUCCACCUCUCCCUGAGCUGUGGGAGAGUGUCUAACAGUGGGCUUCAGCUGAAGGUUUGCUCUGGUUUCCCUUUCCCGUGUUCAUCCUUUUAUUCCACCUUUCCCUCUCACUUCACUUUUAUUAAUUUUUUUUUUCAGUUUUCCUUUCCACAAAAAACCCCAACCACACCCAUAAACCAAGUAUUAUGUUUUCACUACCUCCAUCCACCACCCUUCCUUGUCCAAUGCAGGAAGCCACACUCGGGGUGUAAGAGGGCCUUUCCCCCUUUAUUUUCCCCUUUCCCUGGUGAUUUUCUCUCCCUUCUGUCCCUCUGCCCCUCCUCUCUCUGGUCUCUCACCUGUAGUAUUUUACCUGGCUACUGUAACUGUAAAUAGCGAGUUUCAAUCUGUUAGCAAUGGUAACAGUACAGAAAACUGGUUUGUUUUUUUUUUUUGUUUGUUCGUUUGUUUGGUUUGUUUUUUUUUUUUUUUGUUGAUAUGAAAUGAGAUUAUAUUUUUGUCAGAGUAUAUUGUAAUAAUACUGACUUUGGACAUGG